rnacentral:rRNA from 1 species
UACGAAGGGGGCUAGCGUUGUUCGGAAUUACUGGGCGUAAAGAGCGCGCAGGCGGUCGUUCAAGUCGCGUGUGAAAGCCCCGGCUCAACUGGGGAGGGUCACGCGAUACUGAUCGACUGGAAGGCAGGAGAGGGUAGUGGAAUUCCCGGUGUAGUGGUGAAAUGCGUAGAUAUCGGGAGGAACACCAGUGGCGAAGGCGACUACCUGGCCUGUUCUUGACGCUGAGGCGCGAAAGCUAGGGAGCAACGGG